rnacentral:misc_RNA from 1 species
AAGAAAAGAAAAGGAUGCGUAAACAUUUCAUCAAAAAACCAAGAAUUUAAUCCCGAUCCUGGCAUAUACUUUUCUUCAUCACACACAGCAGGGCAUUAAUUUAGUAGAACUUCAAUAAAAAGUCACCAAGUCUUGUUAAAGGAAAUUGAGGCAAAACAAGAAAAACCAACCUAACACACAGGACUUAGUCCAAAUGAAUACUUAUACCACUACAUCAUAUGAGAAAAAAAAAAAACAGAGUGCAGGA